rnacentral:rRNA from 1 species
UACGUAGGGUGCAAGCGUUAUCCGGAUUCACUGGGUUUAAAGGGUGCGUAGGUGGAAUGGUAAGUCAGUGGUGAAAUCUCCAAGCUUAACUUGGAAACUGCCGUUGAUACUAUCAUUCUUGAAUAUCGUGGAGGUAAGCGGAAUAUGUCAUGUAGCGGUGAAAUGCUUAGAUAUGACAUAGAACACCGAUUGCGAAGGCAGCUUGCUACACGAUCAUUGACACUGAGGCACGAAAGCGUGGGGAUCAAACAGG